GUAAAUCGAGGCUGGUUCAAACGAAACGAACAUUGACAUUGAAUAAUCAUUUUUUCCCUUCACAUAAUCACAAUUGGCAUCACUCGAUCUACAUCCAUAAUAUUACUCAUGAUCAUUAAGAAGAAAAAAGCAGUUUAAGAUUAUUUGGUACAAGGUUUAUUAAUUUAGAUGAUUCGCUCGUAUAAAGAUUGUGAACAGUGAAAGCAAAAAACAGCAACAACAAGGAAUAGGAAGAAAGAUGGAAAAGUUCAACUUAAUCAUGAUUUUUUGUUAACUCGAAUUAUUAUAUGCCAUUAAGAAUCUAUUGAUUUGUUUGGCUAUAUAAUGAUUGGUUUGGCAUUCUUCUCAUCAUUAAUAACAACAAUUAUCUUCAUUAUGAUUACCAUUUCAGUCAAUUCAAUGAAAGCUAAAUUGAAGCGAAUUACAAGUUUUCGAAACUGUCCACUCGAUUAUUCCUUUUAUCCUUAUUUAUUGACGAUAACCUCGAUUUCCUUGUAAUUUGUGUAUUUUACCACCAAUCAACGAAUCGAUUUGUUUUCUUGUUUUUUUUAUAUUUAUCAAUUGUAUCUUAAUUGAAUUAAAGGAGAUACUGAAAAGGUAAAAUGGCUUAACUUUCCACCAGUAAACCGGAUAAUCAGGAAGACUAAAAACCUUAUUCUGAUAUGUUGAUUAAACAGUUAAAUUGAACUUGAUAUUUUCAUUUUUUCUUCUCCUUUCUUUAAUCUGCUUUUUUUGCUUCACAAUUUGUGUCUCUUUUAAUCAUCAUUAUAAUCAAUUUACCAUUAAAAUUAUGCUUUCCAAUAAACAAGAAAAAAAAGUGAAAGUUACAGCAAUCCUUUAUAAACAACAUCAUUGAUUAUCAAUGGACUACACUUUAAACAUUUACAGCUAAUUUGAUAAUUGUCAUUUGAUCUGACUAUUUCAUGUAAUCUGAGAGGCUUCAGAGUCUUGUCUAUCUGUUUCCUGAUUGAGUAAUAUACAUCAUCAAUUGAUACCAGAUUCAUUUGGUAUUGAUGGCAAACAUUAUGGCAAACAUUAACAUUGAUCUUAUUUUCAAUUUCCGAGCUUGGGUUGAAUUUGAAGUUAUUAGCAAGAAAUUAAGGUUAAAAUUAUUAUUUAAACACAAUUUAUCUCAAAAAUUAGGGUCAAUUAAAGCUAUUUAUUGAAAAUUAGACUCAAAAUAUGGUUAAAUACAAUAAUUGACCAAAUUUCAAUAUUGAGUUAACUUGGUAAGGUUUGGCGGGUAAGGCACAAAGUAAUAUCAUUAGAUAUAUUAAUUAAUAUUACAAAAAGGUUUCAUUCCAAUCAGUGUUUAAUCAUUGAAAUACUCGGUGUUUGUUAAUCAUGAUAAAAUGUUGCUGUUACCAGUCAACGUUGACAUUAAAAAAGGUUAGAAACAGGUAAAAGCCAAACAGCAAGUUUAUACCGCAAAAUGUUAUAACCUUAAGCUAUAAACAAAGUUGCGAUAAAUAUUAAAAAAAAGUUGAUGAUUAACUUGAUUAAAGUGAAAUUAACUUUGAUUGGUAAGUGAAAGUAAUAGAUGCACAGCAAAUAUAUACUCAUAUGUAAAUGUAAAAAAACAAAUAUGGCGAUAAGGAGAGUAUUGACUUGAAAGGGUAAAACAGUGCUUCAACAAUUGAGAUUUACAGGACUAAAUGAACAUUGCUAUUCUGAAUGGACCGAGGAAAAGGAGGGAAAAGAGAGAGAGAAGAGAGUAAAGAUGAAGAUGAGGAUAAAUAUGAGUGAAUGGAUGAGAUGAAAUGUUACGUGUUAUUGAAACGAUCCGAAACUUGACCUACUCCCACAAAGGACAAAAUAAUUUUAAUAUUCACUUCCGUGGUUACCAUUCACUUUGAAAUUUUUCUUCCUCCUCUUUUCGUCUUUAAAUCUCUUCUCUUCUCGCAUUUUGUUUUUUUACCUCCUCUCCUUGAGAGAGGAAAGGUAAAGGUGAAACAAAAGUGUCACCAAAAAAGGGUGAAGAUGCCAAUUAAGAAAACAUUUUGUUUUUAAUAUUCUCGUAUGUGUUUGUUGUUGGCGUAUUUGUUUCAAUUUAAAGUUGGUUGUUGACAAAAGGUAUCAUUGGGUUGUGAAGAGGACAUAUCAAAAUGGUUUUUAUCAAGAUAUUGAUAAUUAUUGUUGUAAGCCAAAAGGAACAGGUGAA